AGCUGGGGCAGACCUGGCAGGAGAGUACGCAAUGGGUGCGAGGGGAGAGCAUCGGGCUCUCUGUUCCCCAAACACUGGCAGGGAGGAGAAGACAGUGCCCCCGCCCCAGGCCAGAGGCCACCGCCUUCCUGCUCUCCCAUUCCGGGUGUCCGAGAAUUCCUGACUUCAAGAAUCCCAGGACCUCAGCAUCCCAAGAGACCUCCAGGGUCAUUUCUCCUAACCGCAUCCCAGCUCAGGAAUCCUUCCAAGCUGUUUUCAAGCCGCUGUCCGAACUCUCCCCAGGACGGGAGGCUCACUACCUCACAAGGCAGCCCAUUCUCCUGCUGACCAGCAGGCCUGUUAAGAAACCCUUCAACAGACCUGAGCCAAGCUUCCUUCAGCAAGCAAAAAUCCAUUCUCCCUUUUUGCUUCCUGUUCCCACCUCAGCACUAACAGGGCACUGAGAAUUCUCAAACUCCAGGUCUUCUGCUACAGCCCAUCAGAGGUGAGAAGAUGGUCAUCCAACGGCAAGGUUGGCCCUGAACUCCCCUGCACCCCACCCAGCAGCCCCCCACACCCGGCCACCAACCCCCAGGGUGUUUGCGAUUCUGGAGGCUGCGGCCCCCAUGGGAGAUUCUCGGCUGGGGCUCUGUGGGAAGUGAAGAAUGAGAAGUACUGAGAGAGGGAUAGGGAAGGAGAGGCAGGGGUCUGGAAGCAGAGAUUCCCACGCCCCCUCCUCCACCACCUGAUAAUUCUCAGCUCUGAAUCAAAGUCCUGGCUCCCAAACCUCGGGGUUCCGGGAGACCUUCCCCAAGCGGGGAUCCCAGCACUGGUCCUAUUGAGAGCUCUCCCACCCAGCUCCCCAUGCAGACACAGGUCCCCACCAGCCCUGGGCCAAAGGGGUCGGGGCAGAUGGGGGGCUCGGCUAUAACCAGUUCUGAGGUCCUGGGGGACAGCGAGGGUGGGGGAGACAGGAGGAGCCGCCAGCUGGCAGGGUUAGAAGCGACUUAAGGCCAAGUCUGAGCCACAAUGGUCCCCACCCCACCCAGGCAGCUUCAGGAAGGGGCCCAGCAGAGACUCAAGGAAAGAGAGUGCUCCCCCACGCCCUCCUGACCCCCCUGCUUUGAUUCUGCCACAUGGAAGAAGUUCUGCAGCUUCCAGAAGAAAAACCCCUGUCCCCAAAGAUUCUGGAACCCUGAUUUCCAGUUCCUCCUCUGAGCCUCACCCCACAACUGCUUGUCCUGCCCUCCCCUACCCAGCACCCAUCCUGUCCCCUGACCCCAUGCCCUGCAGGGAGCCCGGCUGGGGGGCACAGCAGGCUUCUCCUGGUCACCCCCUCCCAGUUUCCUCUUCUAAGACAGUGGCCAGAAGAGAAGCAUCUGGGCAGGCAGUCCUGGCCCUGGUCCUGAAUUGGGGGGUGGGGGCCAGACACUGAGGUUUAGCGCUGCAUAGACUCCCCCACUUGGGAAAGGGUGGCAGGCAGGGCAUCAGAGGGUCAGAGGAGGAGACAGGGGUGGGAAGAGAGGAAGGAGAGGGGGGUGGAAAGCAGCUGCGUGUGUCUGUUCAUUAACCACCUGGAUUAGCCAUUUCUGCCCAGAGGGGUGAGGAGGGGAUGAGAGCUGCUGGCUGGGGGAGGGCAGCAGGGGGCACUUAUGCCAGGCUGUGCCCAGGGACCCAGGGACCCAAGCUGCGGGGAGGUGAGCGCAGCGGGGAAACCCUUCCGGGCCCACCAGACCCUCCCUGGAAGCCUUGGGCAGCCCUCUGGGAGAUGAGAGGUGGGAGCAAGGGGAGCCCCGAGAACAGGGCCCGGCAGCAGCUCCAGCGGCGGCUGGGAAAGAAACGAAGAGGAAAAAUUCCCACGCCCAUCUCCUGGUCCCCUCCUGAGGCACCCCUGCUGAAGAAAGUGAUCCUGGAGUGCUUCGGUGACUUGUCCAAGACCACACAGGAUGGUGUUGAGCAGAAAGUCGACCUUGGAUAGGCUCAUUCCAGAGCCAAGCUCCUCACCGCUCAGCUCUCCAGACACUGAAAGGCCCUUCUCUUCCCCAUGUGGGCCAGUGACCUGCAUUUCUGAGCCUCAGUUUCCCCUGCUGUAUGAUGAGUUUGGAUCCAAAGGUCUUCAAGAUGUCUUCCAGUUCUAACACUCACUAAUUUUAUUAAUUCAUCCAAACGCUUCCCCAGGAAAGUGACAGGGAAGACCCAGAGGAGGGACAAACAGUCUCAGGAAAGAUCUGGGGGCAUCUAGGGCCAGUGUCACAGGGCAACGAUCAGUACUUUGGAGGGCUGCUCCCCCUGCUUCAGUGACAGUGAAGCCUUGAGGAUUGGGGGGGGUAGGAGUAGGGCACCUUCCCAGGACCCUAAUGUGGGCAGGGUGGAGAUGGAAGCAUCACUGCGCCCACCCCCUGCCUCCAGAACAAGAUGUCUCCCCUUCCCAGGUGGAGAGUCUGGAUUCCCAGAGUCCCAAAUCCCAGUAUCUCCAAACCUACCAGCCCUUGCCAGUGGCCUCCCUCUGUGAGUGUGUAGGUGCAGCCAGAGACAGAGAUAGGAGAGACGUGGCCCCACAGAAUGUGCCUCUGAGACUGUGGACUGUGUGAGGAAAGAGUCUAGCCCUCCCUCGUCCCAACUCUGGGACAAAGAUGAAUCCUAAUAGCCUGUCCUACUAACUCCCACAUCCCUGCAGACCAACAUCGACUCAGGGGCUUGGUUCAGCCUUGGUCAGGGGAGGGAAGUGAGAGAUUCCACAUCAGCAAUCUGGGCUCCCCUAAAGGUAGAUGGGGAGUCUGCCACAGAAGCGGAAACCCCCUCCCUGUCUUGGGUCAUGAAUGGCAGACACGCCAUCCUCCCCAUCUCCUCCUUCCAACCCACACCCCACCAUCACCCUGACUGACACCAAACUAUCCCAGGCUCCCCACUGCCUACCAGAUCCAGUCCCAGCACUGCAGAAGGACCCUCUGUGACACAGCCCCACCUCUAAGCCUUUUCAAGGCACCAUUCCCCCUUUUCCUUCUCCACCAUCAGGCCUCAAUUCAAAAGCCACAUCCUCCCUGGGUCCUUCUGCAACUGCCCCUCCAGUAGGCACUGGCCCCUCCUCUGAACACUGAGGGCUCUUGCUCAUACAUUAAUGCCGGGACACUCACUGGUUGGGUGCACUUGUCUAUGUCCCAGUGAGUUGAGCGAAGAUUCAUUCAUCAUUUCCUUCCCCUUUCCUCGCAUGCUGGGUACCCAGUGCAAGGUGGUCGCAUAGAUUCUCAGUGAAUGCAGACUGAAUAAAUAAAUGGUGGAGUGAUGGAUAGAUGGAUGGUUGGCUACAGACUGAAUAAACAAACACUUUUUAAUGUUUGAUUCUGCA